UACAGAGGUCCCGAGCGUUGUUCGGAUUCACUGGGCGUAAAGGGUGCGUAGGUGGUGAGGUAAGUCGGAUGUGAAAUACUGGAGCUUAACUCCGGAACGGCAUUGGAAACUACCUUGCUGGAGGGUUGGAGGGGGGACUGGAAUUCUCGGUGUAGCAGUGAAAUGCGUAGAUAUCGAGAGGAACACCGGUGGCGAAGGCGAGUCCCUGGACAACACCUGACACUGAGGCACGAAAGCUAGGGGAGCAAACAGG
rnacentral:rRNA from 1 species